rnacentral:rRNA from 1 species
AGGACGAACGCUGGCGGCGUGCCUAACACAUGCAAGUCGAACGGAACUAUUUGACUGAUUCCUUCGGGAUGAAGAAUUUUAGUUAGUGGCGGACGGGUGAGUAACGCGUGAGUAACCUGCCUCUGAGAGGGGAAUAACGUUCUGAAAAGAACGCUAAUACCGCAUAACACAUAUUUGCCGCAUGACAGAUAUGUCAAAGAUUUUAUCGCUCGGAGAUGGACUCGCGUCCGAUUAGUUAGUUGGUGAGGUAACGGCUCACCAAGACCGCGAUCGGUAGCCGGACUGAGAGGUUGAACGGCCACAUUGGGACUGAGACACGGCCCAGACUCCUACGGGAGGCAGCAGUGGGGGAUAUUGCGCAAUGGGGGCAACCCUGACGCCAGCAACGCCGCGUGAAGGAUGAAGGUUUUCGGAUUGUAAACUUCUUUUAUCAGGGACGAACUCUGACGGUACCUGAUGAAUAAGCUCCGGCUAACUACGUGCCAGCCGCAGC